AGUCGAACGAGAAUCUACUGAAGGAGGAUUCGUCCAACGGAAGUAGAGGAAAGUGGCGGACGGGUGAGUAACGCGUGAGGAACCUGCCUUGAAGAGGGGGACAACAGUUGGAAACGACUGCUAAUACCGCAUGAAGCAUAGGGGUCGCAUGAUUCUUAUGCCAAAGAUUUAUCGCUUCAAGAUGGCCUCGCGUCUGAUUAGCUAGUUGGCGGGGUAACGGCCCACCAAGGCGACGAUCAGUAGCCGGACUGAGAGGUUGAACGGCCACACUGGGACUGAGAUACGGCCCAGACUCCUACGGGAGGCAGCAGUGGGGAAUAUUGGGCAAUGGGCGCAAGCCUGACCCAGCAACGCCGCGUGAAGGAAGAAGGCUUUCGGGUUGUAAACUUCUUUUAAGAGGGAAGAGCAGAAGACGGUACCUCUAGAAUAAGCCACGGCUAACUACGUGCCAGCAGCCGCGGUAAUACGUAGGUGGCAAGCGUUGUCCGGAUUUACUGGGUGUAAAGGGCGUGCAGCCGGGUCUGCAAGUCAGAUGUGAAAUCCAUGGGCUCAACCCAUGAACUGCAUUUGAAACUGUAGAUCUUGAGUGUCGGAGGGGCAAUCGGAAUUCCUAGUGUAGCGGUGAAAUGCGUAGAUAUUAGGAGGAACACCAGUGGCGAAGGCGGAUUGCUGGACGAUAACUGACGGUGAGGCGCGAAAGUGUGGGGAGCAAAUAGGAUUAGGUACCCUGGUAGUCCACACUGUAAACGAUGAAUACUAGGUGUGCGGGGACUGACCCCCUGCGUGCCGCAGUAAACACAAUAAGUAUUCCACCUGGGGAGUACGAUCGCAA
rnacentral:rRNA from 1 species